rnacentral:lncRNA from 1 species
GUCUUCCUGGGCCUCAUGGGCUGUAAUGUGACAUCAGCUGUAUGCCCAAGAGUGAAGGGUAUGGGUCUGGCUCCUGGUGGUGCUGGACCAAGAUAUAAGCAGGUCAUCUGUAAGGCUGAACUGCUGCAGAAGACCAAGUUUAUUCUGCAGCUCCUCAGUGUGACAUCUGGAAACCUACCAGGUUAAAUGGAUAGUCAGCGACAAAUGCAGGAUCUUCAAAAUACUUUCUACAGAAAGCUGUUCCUGGGGGGAGAAUUCAGUGGAAUAUGGCUAACACUGAAGGAGGUCUUAUCUUUGGUAAAAGCAAUAGUGCUAGGAUUCUUGUUCCUUUUCUGGGCAAGUGCUGGCCAUGCCAUGGACUGCAGUCUGACAACAAGCCCUUUACAAGCUCUUUGCCACGAUUCAGUGAUCAUCUUUAAUCUGUAUAAUUCUGUUAUUUUCUCUGCUUACUCCCACUUAAGAAUGGCAAUAUCUACAGGUCAUGAGUGAAGGAAAAGUUCUGGGGAGUGCUGUUCUGAUGGUACUUGUCCCAGGCAAUGUGACUUUAUAACUGGGUGCUUACAGAAGAGUAAUUUCAGUUAAUCUAAUAAUUAGCAGUUUCAAGGAAUCCAUGGGAACCAGAGCUUUCUGUUGUAUUCUGUCUUUGUGAGUGGCGAUGUUUGGAUCAGUUUACUGACAUUGCACACCCUAGUGAGCAUAUACUCUAACAUCGAAGAACAGGCUAGUGCUGUGAUACUUCAAACAGUGUGGAAAAAAGCAUUCAGCUAUUGUUUUAAAUUGUCAUUGCUG